GUGAAGCUUCAGAGAUCCAUCUCAGCAGUUCCAGGAGGGGCGUGUAGCCUGUCCCUUCCUGGACUGUGAAAAGAACAUAUAGCCCAACCUCCCUGCCAACAAGCUGUACCAUCGGGAAGAGGAGAGCCCAAUGGUAGAAGCUCAUCAAUGAUUCCCAGCCUCUGUUUCCAUCAGAACUGCUUGAUGAGGCUCCUUUAACACAAAUAGAUUUACUCACAUUCCUUAACUGUAAAAGGUGUGCAUGUGCCAGCAGGGGUUUCUGGAAUCAUGUACCUUUGUCAGAGCUCCCCCAUUUAAUUCUGAUACAAUUCCACGUGGGUAUUACCUAAAGAGACCCACUACUGAUGCCUU
ensembl:lincRNA